AGUGAACGCUGGCGGCAGGCCUAACACAUGCAAGUCGAACGGCAGCACAGGAGAGCUUGCUCUCUGGGUGGCGAGUGGCGGACGGGUGAGGAAUAUAUCGGAAUCUACCCUUUCGUGGGGGAUAACGUAGGGAAACUUACGCUAAUACCGCAUACGAACUGAGGUUGAAAGCGGCGGACCGCAAGGCGUCGCGCGGAUGGAUGAGCCGAUAUCCGAUUAGCUAGUUGGCGGGGUAAAGGCCCACCAAGGCGACGAUCGGUAGCUGGUCUGAGAGGAGUAUCAGCCACACUGGAACUGAGACACGGUCCAGACUCCUACGGGAGGCAGCAGUGGGGAAUAUUGGACAAUGGGCGCAAGCCUGAUCCAGCCAUGCCGCGUGUGUGAAGAAGGCCUUCGGGUUGUAAAGCACUUUUGUUGGGAAAGAAAAGCGGUCGGUUAAUACCCGGUCGUUCUGACGGUACCCAAAGAAUAAGCACCGGCUAACUUCGUGCCAGCAGCCGCGGUAACAC
rnacentral:rRNA from 1 species